GCGGCAGACGGGUGAGUAACGCGUGGGAACCUACCUAUCUCUACGGAACAACUCCGGGAAACUGGAGCUAAUACCGUAUACGCCCUUCGGGGGAAAGAUUUAUCGGAGAUAGAUGAGCCCGCGUUGGAUUAGCUAGUUGGUGGGGUAAUGGCCUACCAAGGCGACGAUCCAUAGCUGGUCUGAGAGGAUGAUCAGCCACACUGGGACUGAGACACGGCCCAGACUCCUACGGGAGGCAGCAGUGGGGAAUAUUGGACAAUGGGCGAAAGCCUGAUCCAGCCAUGCCGCGUGAGUGAUGAAGGCCCUAGGGUUGUAAAGCUCUUUCAACGGUGAAGAUAAUGACGGUAACCGUAGAAGAAGCCCCGGCUAACUUCGUGCCAGCAGCCGCGGUAAUACGAAGGGGGCUAGCGUUGUUCGGAAUUACUGGGCGUAAAGCGCACGUAGGCGGAUUGUUUAGUUAGGGGUGAAAUCCCAGGGCUCAACCCUGGAACUGCCUCUAAUACUGGCAAUCUAGAGUCCGAGAGAGGUGAGUGGAAUUCCGAGUGUAGAGGUGAAAU
rnacentral:rRNA from 1 species